GACAGAGGGUGCAAACGUUGUUCGGAAUUACUGGGCGUAAAGCGCGUGUAGGCGGCUAAGUAAGUCGGGCGUGAAAUCCCACGGCUCAACCGUGGAAGUGCACUCGAAACUGCAUAGCUAGAGUCCUGGAGAGGAAGGUGGAAUGCUUGGUGUAGAGGUGAAAUUCGUAGAUAUCAAGCGGAACACCGGUGGCGAAGGCGGCCGUCUGGACAGUGACUGACGCUGAGACGCGAAAGCGUGGGGAGCAAACAGG
rnacentral:rRNA from 1 species